UACAGAGGUCUCGAGCGUUGUUCGGAUUCAUUGGGCGUAAAGGGUGCGUAGGUGGCGAGGUAAGUCGGAUGUGAAAUCCCGGGGCUCAACCCCGGAACUGCAUUCGAUACUGCCCUGCUAGAGUACUGGAGAGGAGAUUGGAAUUUACGGUGUAGCAGUGAAAUGCGUAGAUAUCGUAAGGAAGACCAGUGGCGAAGGCGGAUCUCUGGACAGUUACUGACACUGAGGCAGCGAAGGCCAGGGAGCAAACGGG
rnacentral:rRNA from 1 species